ACAGAAGUUCUGGACGCCUGCCUGCUGCUGUAAAUUCAUAACAAGGAAGCCUAAAACUCAAAGAAUCAGAAGACAGUGGUGUCCAGCAAAACAAUGCGUUAGAACCAAAACUCCAACAAAGGCACAGCCAGCAGUUAUGCAGGAUGGGUGUGGUAGUGGCUCUGCCUGGAGGGUGAGUGAGAAGGACACAUCUAGUUUGGUUCACGAGAUGGUGGAGGGCACAAUCCUCAACGCUGAAGUUUGGGACUUGUCCGUAUUUCAGCUCCUACGGACUAUUUACUGCCAGAGCUGUGGAGUGUGACAAUGGUGUUUGUGUCCAAUCUAUCAAACGCCAUUAUCACACUAAAUAGCUACUGUUAGAUAAGCCAUCAGGUCACAGAAGGAAGAGAGCUUUAAGCAAUACAUUUUCUGGCUGUGAUGAGGAAUAAAGCAGGUUUGUUCUUGUAUGUCAUGAUGACUGUGCUCUUUUAUGAGCAAUGCUAAAAUAAUUUACAAUAAACAAAUACUCUGCUGUACGGCUUCCAGUUGUAAAACUCCUUUUUAAAUUACACAUUGUAAUGAACUUAAUGCUGUCCAUUUGCUUUUACCGAGUCAUGUUUAUAUUCAUGGAUUGUAAUGUUUUUAUUCAGCAAUGCAAGUGGCUGUGAAUUCUUCCCUUAUUUAGAUUUCUGUUAGGUUAUAGCUGGCAACCUGCAGCCCCUAUUUAAGCAGUGUUGUCAGUAUUUAAUGCAUUUAAUUAACAUGUUUUGGUCUGGAACAUAUUCUUCAAUGAUCUCAUUGAAAUGAUCUCACAAAGACCAUUGUGGCAGUGAAAUAAAUUUGUUUGGAGGUCAGUUGUACAAAUACAACACAGUGGACUCACGAUUAAAGAAAAUGAAUCAGGAGUAUUGCUGGCAAAUCAUCAAACAGACAUGACGUUGUCAGAAAAGAAACCCGGGGCCCAGUCCUGCAACCCUUAAACAAAUAGUGUUUGGGCAUUUGAGUCUCAUGGAAGUCAGUGAAAGCUCUGGGUGUUCAAUAUCUUUAAAAAUGUAGGGUCAGAUUAUGAGCCCCUUACUCGUGUUGAAUAGUCCCGACAAAUAGUCCUGUUGAAGCUAACUUGGGAAAGACUGUGCUACCUCGUAUGACUAAUGGUGUCACAAUCUGGCCCUUAUUUAGGUGCCUAUUUGUAAGUACCCGAGUUUGAAACAUUAGGCUUAGAUGCCCAACUUAGCACUUUACACACCUAGGUUUGACUAUUGGGCCCUAAGUAAAAUGAAUGCAGGAACGAGCAGAUGACGAUGAUCACUGCUUCUGUAUUGCAGUAUUAGAUUAGCAAGUGGUGACCUAAGUAGAGCAAUUGCCUUUCAUUCAUAGCAUCUAUAUGGUUCUCCUUAUUAGGGCAUGGAAAACUUGUAUUUAACACUCGACUUACCUUUUAUAUAAACAUGACAUAAAUCUGCCACUGCAGCUGCACUACACAUCCUUGGGCAAAGACAGCUUUGUUCCCGUGUUGGACAAGUAUGAAAAAUAAAUCGUGAUGAUGCUAGUUUAUCUCUUGGUGGAUGUUUCUCCCUUUUUAGAGAAAACACCAGCAAGAAAAAUUAGGUUGGGCUCCUCAGAUAACACAGAAUGCCAGUAGUGUUCCAUCCCAGAUGUGAUUGCAUGUUGGUGUUUACAGGCUAGAUCAGUUGUGCAUGGUCUGUAAAGAUCCUUGCAAGAAAAGCAUCCUGCAAGGUAAUGAGUGAAUAUGAAUGCAGCAUCAGGCUUCCCACAAACAAAAGGAAAGGAAACUUUACUCACAGCCCUAUACUACCAGUGUGCCAUUUCUUCUUGCAGACUUCCCAGCCAUUGCUUUUUAGCUGUUUUUGCAGUUAUUCGUUUACCCUACUACCAAUGCCAAAUGACUUCUGAUAGCUCAGAGGAGCAUGCUGGAACUGUAACACAAAGCAGAAAUGGGUCUAGAAUGGAAAUAUUUAUUGUUCAUGGAUACACACAACCUGGCUGAUUAAUUGAAAGUGACAGGAACCCAGGAGAGCUUGCAAACAAAUACAGCCUGUGUUUUAUUUCACAAAUCUUCAAAGGACUGAACAUGUGCUAAGGAAGUUUGUCCAUUAGAUUACCCAUAAACAAACGACAGUAGCCCACAAAUGGUCCAUCUAAUCUAUGGUGCAAAAAUUAUGUUGGAUAAACAUGCUUAGUGUAUUCGAAAAGAAAGAAAGGUAAAAAUAGUUUUACUUCCUCAAGUUUCUCUCUGCUCUCAGUACACCCCUUCUACCUUCAUAUCUAUCUGUUCCUGUUCCAGUCCAAUUGGCUGACGGUCAGGGGUCUGUAAAAUCCCCUCUUUCCCUUGUCUUGGUGAGAGAGAACAUUACACAGAUACAUAAACCUUAAAAAAAAGUCAGUGCUGAGGCAUGUUGAGCCUGCAGCCAUAGCAUUUGGUAGAGUCUGAAUUCUCCCCUUCUUCAUUACUGUAACUAUAGAGUUGUCUGUUGAGAACUACUGGGCUAAGUUAAGA